rnacentral:rRNA from 1 species
UCACUUGUUCUCUAAAUAAGGACUUGUAUCAACGGCAUCACGAGAGCUAUACUGUCUCCUUUAUGUAAUCUGUGAAACUAAUCCCCCCGUGAAGAAGCGGGGAUACAACUAUAAGACGAGAAGACCCCAUGGAGCUUUAAACUUAGCCCCACCCCCGCCCCCACAUCCACAGACCAACGGGACCCUGCGUGCUCAGUUUUAGGUUGGGGUGACCACGGAGUAUAACACAACCUCCACGAUAAAUAAAACUAUUCUCUUAAUCUAAGAGCCACACCUCUAAGAAUUAGAACCCUAAUACUAAUGACCCGAUAAUCGAUCAACGGACCAAGUUACCCUGGGGAUAACAGCGCAAUCUACUUCAAGAGCCCCUAUCGACAAGUGGGUUUACGACCUCGAUGU